rnacentral:rRNA from 1 species
CUUCGGGGUGGAUUAGUGGCGAACGGGUGAGUAACACGUGGGCAAUCUGCCCUGCACUCUGGGACAAGCCCUGGAAACGGGGUCUAAUACCGGAUACGAGCCUCCACCGCAUGGUGGUGGUUGGAAAGCUCCGGCGGUGCAGGAUGGGCCCGCGGCCUAUCAGCUUGUUGGUGAGGUAAUGGCUCACCAAGGCGACGACGGGUAGCCGGCCUGAGAGGGCGACCGGCCACACUGGGACUGAGACACGGCCCAGACUCCUACGGGAGGCAGCAGUGGGGAAUAUUGCACAAUGGGCGCAAGCCUGAUGCAGCGACGCCGCGUGAGGGAUGACGGCCUUCGGGUUGUAAACCUCUUUCAGCAGGGAAGAAGCGUGAGUGACGGUACCUGCAGAAGAAGCGCCGGCUAACUACGUGCCAGCAGCCGCGGUAAUACGUAGGGCGCGAGCGUUGUCCGGAAUUAUUGGGCGUAAAGAGCUCGUAGGCGGCUUGUCGCGUCGGUUGUGAAAGCCCGGGGCUUAACCCCGGGUCUGCAGUCGAUACGGGCAGGCUAGAGUUCGGUAGGGGAGAUCGGAAUUCCUGGUGUAGCGGUGAAAUGCGCAGAUAUCAGGAGGAACACCGGUGGCGAAGGCGGAUCUCUGGGCCGAUACUGACGCUGAGGAGCGAAAGCGUGGGGAGCGAACAGGAUUAGAUACCCUGGUAGUCCACGCCGUAAACGGUGGGCACUAGG